rnacentral:misc_RNA from 1 species
UAUAAAGACUCUUUCUCCCAUCAUACACAGGUAGACGGUUGCCUAAAUUAGUUUCCUUGUAUAGUUUGACCAGUUGUGCCAUGAUGGCACGGUUCACCCCACGGGAGGUGACUUCUGGCGAAAUGGUUACAUCAUACUGGUGAAGGUCACUUUUUGGUAGUUCAGCGAAAAAAUGGUUGGCCUUUACUAUGCACCUAACCCCAACACUACCUAUGCCAGGACGCAAGGGGAAUCGAAUUGAUUUGCUUGACGAGGGUGGUAACACUGGCUGAAUCGCCUGAGAAGGCGCAGCUUCAACCUCAAUAGAAAGCUGUUUAAGUUUUUGGGCCACCUCCACAGAAGACUCCUCUGGUCGCCGUGAAGAACUGGCUUGUGAUGACGAUGGUUGGGUGGCUUGAUACGUAGAAUGACUUGCUUGGUGCAGAUCGGGAAUCGGUGACCUGGAUGGACCAGUAGAGGGGCUACCACCCUGGCGACCACUGUGGUGCUGCUGAGGUGGCAUUCCACCUCUAGGCUGGGGCUCACCACGACCACGGUAUUCAGGAUGUUGAAAACCUGGCUGUGCUGGGGCCAUCCCCCCUCGAGGGUUCGGCCCCCCUCGACCUUGAUACUGAGGCUGCGGACCGGACUGUUGUGCCACCAUUCCACCACGAGGUUGAGGCCCCCCACGACCUUGGUAUACAGGAGG